GUUUCGGUCAUCUGGAAAGCAAAUUAAUUGGUUGAUUGCUCGAGAGAAUGUAUUUAUUCUGAAGAAAUUUGAAAAUAUGAAUUUUAAAUGUUCAAGAUUUCAAAAAUUCGAAAAUUUAAAUCAAAGAAAAAGAAAAAAAAAUGUAAACAUUACGAUUAUAUUCAAGCAACAAACGUAACGAAUAUAUAGCGCGAUAUUAAUUGAAUUCGAAUUAUCGAUGAAGUAAGCAAAAAAAAAAAAAAAAAUAGAAUCUAAACAAUAGAAUAUAAACAAAAAGUGAGAUUUUCAUAUAAAUGUUUAAACGAUGGAAGGAAACGAUUACGGUAAAGCGGAGAAAAAAGAAAAAAAACAGCCAAGAAAAGAAUUUUAAUUUUCAAUCUGAUAAACCGAUAUGUACGAACUAUUGGCUAACUUAUCGGCCACGACGACGACAAUUUGGACCGGUUAAUCGGUGUCAUUCUCGAACGGAGGAUUCACGGCUCGAUACCAUACACGCGGUGCAGUCAAACACAGGAAAUUUGAGAAGAAAAGAUUUGAUAUUAGAAGCGUCGGGGAAUAUUUUGGUAUGGAGGAACAGAACGAGCAAAAGCGUUCGAACGACUAUCAUUUUUCCAUGGUAGUCAGAUACAACCUGUUGCUAAGAGGCCUGAGGAAAUUCGCACGCGAAACGGUGCGAAUCGGCAAGUAGUAGACCCGACUCAGACAAGCGCAAAGAACUGAGCAAGAAAAAACAUUGGGCGUGAAUGUGGAAUCGAGAAGAUUUUUCGAUUUCGAGUUGCAAUAUCUCGAGGAAAAGAAAAAAAAAAAAAAAAAGAGGAAAGAGGAAUCACAAUACCGUUCGAGCCGAGAAAGAUGACGAUUGAAGAAAGAAAUGAAUAAGCUGACUAGACAAGAAUGCAAACGCGGCAACAUUUGCCUCGACCUUGUCAGUCACGUUUACCGAGAAUCAACAGAAUUUUAUUUAUUUUAUUUCAAACCAAUGAAUCCUAUAAUAGUUAAACGUACAUAUUCAUCGUAUAGAAAAGAUGGUUCGAUCGAAUAAUAUUUGGAUCAAUGGCGCGAGAAUGUGUUUUUCUAUGGAAAAGAGAGAAGAGGCAUACCUGUUGUUCGAGUCGAGGACACGGGCCGAACCGAUACGUGAAUUUUAAGUCCGCUACUGCUUGCUCCGUCUUACCAAGGGCACAUAGACUCGUAUCGAAAGAAGAGGAAAGAGAGGAGUCACACCUGGCGCGGUACAAGAUGAGAUCACUACCGCACUCACUGAUCAACUGGCCCCGCGCCCCACGUCUGGGGCCGCACGCACCUUUCGCGUUACCCCUUCCCCCUCGAACUCCGGAACCUGGAGCUCCUUGGCCCCCUCGGGGCCCCUUCGGCCCUCUUCCACCCUCCAGUCCCCUCCAUAUCCUCUUUACCUCUUCAGCUUCGUUUCGAAUGCCCAUUGGUCCGUUCAAAUCGACAUCGUGACGUCACCGAACCGAACUGCCGACAUAUAUACGAGAGGAACGAGUCUCUCUCUUUUCUUCUUUCCUCUCCUCUCCCCUCUCUUACUUUCUACACCGCUCCAUUCCGUUCCUUGCCGUGCUGUUCCCCUUCGUGGAUCCACUCUUUUCUCUCGUAUCUUCUCUCCCCUAUGCUCUUCACUUGGUCUUCUUUCCCCGACUACCUGUCCUCCUACCUAUGUCCGUUUUCUAUCGUUCUCUUCUUCUCUGUCCCUCCCUCUCUCUUCCCUUCUUUGGUCGGUCUUCUCGUUUGGCCGGCUCUCUUGGAGCAUUACCGCGGCAUCCCUGUCCUUCUACCUGGUUGAUUCGUUCUUUAUCGCGUUGCCUCGUCUACCUUUUCCUCACGCCGGCAUCUCGUUCUCCUUGUUCUCGAACGCUCUUCUGGCUCUUGCUGCGAGUUCGCGAUCUUUCCACACGACGUCUCGUAUAUUCCCCUUUUGUUUCUUCCGUUUUAUAACCGUUGACCCGUAAACUUUUCUUUUUAUAUUCUCUCCUUAACGAUCUCCGCAGAUUUUUCAAAGAUAAAGUUUUGUUCGGGAUUACAUCGCUCUCUUCUUUUUCUCCUUCUUUUCUCCUUCUCCUCCUUCUUCUUCUUCUUUUCCUUCUUCUUCUUCUUCUUCUUCUUCUUUCCUGUCCAAUAAGAAGCCAGUUCCAAUUUCUAUUUUCACUUCUUCUUUUCUAACGUGAAAAGCUUUCUUUUCCCGUUAACAAUGGCUGUCGGUUACCUAUACGGCGCGUUGGUGACUUGCAAUGUUCGUAGGCAGCGCAGAUCCGUUAAGUCGAAUCGUGGUUCCUUUCCUCCUGGUCGGUCGCGGCUGUACCGGUCGCCAGCCAACGAGAUUGUCCGCAAGAGGUUUGCCGCGGUGGUUGCCGCCACCGCCACAGCCACCGCCAUCGCCACCGCCACCGCCAACGUCGUCGCCACAACGAAGCGAGAGUAGCCCGCCAGAUAUAUGGGAGAAGAAGUCGAUUCCAUUUUCUUCAUUGCGUAUUCACCUGGGAAGAUUACUCGAUGAUCCUUGUCGAAUCUAUUAGCGACGGGACACGAAAAUUCGUGGGGAAGAAUAAUCUCUCUGGUAGACCUUGCGUGGGAAUUUCAUGCGUGCCUCGACGAGCUACCACUUUUUCUCGAUUCCUCGUCGAAUUUCGUAAUAAGACAUUAUUCUUUUACUUCGAAUGCAUACAUGCGAAUACAUGCAUGCGCGCACGCAUACGAAUAUGUUUGAUUAUUAAACUUGACUUGUUCUCAUCUGUCGAAUUCCUUCUUUCCCGAAUGAAUGAAAACGGAUUAGCAAGCAAUCCGUUUUCCAAGGAUGUAUGAUAUAGUUGCUUCGUUGCCUGAUAAUUGAACCGUGUUCUACGACAGAAAAAUUACGAUUUAAAACGUCCACUCGUCGCCGUCCGCAUGCCUUGCUAACUAAUUAGCGGUACGUGACACGAAAUGUAAAAUUGUAUAUUUUCAAAUUCGAGUUUAAAUUGCGCAUUAAGCGUGGCGUGCCACGAAAACGAUGGCUAAUUCCAGCCAUAGCUCGACACGUGUUAUUCGAAAUCAAUUUUUUUUUUCUUUUUUCCUUUUUUUUUAAACGCGACUGUUCAAGUUUAUAUCAAGCAAUAGUUGAAAACUAUUAUCUUUAAAGAAAUAGUUAAUUCGAGAGAGAAAAAUUUCUCUUUUAACUUAUUUUCUCUUCGAUGAAACGCUUUUUAUGUUCAAACGCAUUUAUGCACCCUAAAGAUACGCCUCUUUGAACGACGUAGAAUCGGUUCCGCUGUCUGAAAGUACGUCCUGGGAAGUUCCUCGACUACACGUGUCAUCCAUUUUCAGUUUGUGGGAAAGGCAGCGCCGUGACGGAAGGCAUGUGCACGAACAAGUGAUGUACAAUUUCGCAAUUUCAAAUGGUUUGAUUCGUUUAACAAUCUUCGAAAUAUUUCGAAAAGAUUAAUAUUUCCCGAUUCUCAAAAAAUGAUUCAGUUGUAUCUCGUCAAAAUGGUUGGUUGCGCAUAUUAAAAAAACCGGAUCUUUAUACUCGCGGGUGUGGUUUCUUAAUUUACGUCCCGACUUCUCCGUUCAACAAGACCGAACGACGUUUUUAAGUCGUCGGUGAUUCAAAACGCGAAUUAGGGAGGGGAUAGUCUUUCUUUUUUCAAAAGUAAAUUCGUUCCCUAUUCCGUUAAAACAUCAAGAAACAAAGAACCGGCGAACUUUCGGACCCCAACUUAUUCUCGGAAUGUUAUUGCAACGUAAAGCCGUACGUGACGCUCACGUGAAUGAAAUUUUGCAUGCGUAUCGGUUUGCCCUGAGUGCCAGGACCUCGAAGGUCGAAUUCGAUAUCGGUUUGUGCGACUGGUAUUACAAAUUUACUCGCAGAGGAAUAUACUUUUCCUUCCUUUUUUCUUUAUCACUUGUCGCACGCGGUGCGAUCAAGAUCGGUGAAAAAAAAUCGUCCGUCAACUUUGCUUCCAUUGAAUUGAAAUAUCUGAAAGAGCGGGAAUAACAACGAUAAGUGGCGCGAUUUCGAUUAAACGGGAAAUCGAAAUAUAAUUAAUCAGCGAUUCCUCGGCGAGGAAUUUCCUCGCUUCUGAUCCUGAACCUUAACCGUGGUCGGUCAAGGACGAUUUUUAUUGUUCGUUUCGAAGAAGGAUCCUUCGAAAGGAUCGGUACUGUUAUAUCCCUGUUCUGGUAACUCACCUGCGUCUGUCCAGGUACAAAGCUAAUUCAGCCCUGCGUACAAGCGUUGGCGUCACGAGCUGACGCCCUUCGACUUCCGCCGGAUGUACACCGUCCUUGCUCCGCACCGGCGUUCCUAUCCUCCUUCUUCCAUGCACCUGAUUUUUUUUCCCACUUGAACCAAUUAUUUCGGAUCGAUCGAUUUCAAUCAUACGAUUAUUCGAAUAAAAACAUAUAGACAGGGUCUUUGAAAAGAUAUCUUUUUAAAAGGAGUAAUCGCGCUUUCCCUGGGCGAAGAGAGAUGUGUUACCAUGUGCAAAAGUUUCUCGCGAUGAAACAUGAAUUUCGAAAACAAAAGAGAGUCCACCGAAAAUCGAGGUUCUCAUUCGCAUUCGUUACGAUUACGCGGAACACUGGCGAGACGAUUUAAAAUGCGAUGGUCACGCGCAACGAAAGCAAUUUGAAUAGCGCAGAGCCGUUAAUCGAUUAGGCCUACAGUUCACGAAAUUCGUAGUUGGUAACAAAGAGAAAAAGAGAGAGAUAUCCUUUGCGUUUCGAAAUGUCUUCAACAUUUGAUUCACUUUCGAUUAACCGAUUCGUUUCCAUUUUGUUGUAAAACGGCACGCAAAAAA